GCUUAGCCCUAAACACAGACCGCUACAACACAAUGCUAUCCGCCGGAGGACUACAAGCGAAAAACUCGAAACUCCAAGGACUUGGCGGUGCUCCAUACCAGCCUAGAGGAGCCUGUCCUGUAAUCGAUACCCCACGUUAAACCUUACCACCUUUUGCCCCAGCCUAUAUACCGCCGUCGUCAGCCUACCUUGUGAAAGAACCAACAGUAGGCACAACAGUUAAUAACUAACACGUCAGGUCAAGGUGUAGCACAUAAGGUGGAAGAGAUGGGCUACAUUUUCUGCCACAGAACAAACGAACGGCACAAUGAAACACGUACCCGAAGGCGGAUUUAGCAGUAAGACAGACAAGAAAUGCUAUCUUAAACCCGCUCUGGAGCGCGC
rnacentral:rRNA from 1 species